rnacentral:rRNA from 1 species
GACGAAACGCUGGCGGCGCGCCUAACACAUGCAAGUCGAACGGAGAUACUUAAAAGUUUACUUUUGAGUAUCUUAGUGGCGGACGGGUGAGUAACACGUGAGCAACCUACCCUUCAGUGUGAAAAUAACGAUUGGAAACGAUCGCUAAUACCGCAUAACAUCUUGGGACCGCAUGGUUCUGGGAUCAAAGAUUUAUCGCUGAGGGAUGGGCUCGCGGCCGAUUAGCUAGAUGGUGAGGUAACGGCCCACCAUGGCGACGAUCGGUAGCCGGACUGAGAGGUUGAACGGCCACAUUGGGACUGAGACACGGCCCAGACUCCUACGGGAGGCAGCAGUGGGGAUAUUGCACAAUGGGGGAACCCUGAUGCAGCGAACGCCGCGUGUAGGAAGACGGUCCUCUGGAUUGUAAAACUAACUGUCUUUCAGGGACGAUAAAUGACGGUACCUGAGGAGGAAGCUCCGGCUAACUACGUGCCAAGCAGCCGCAGUAAU